rnacentral:lncRNA from 1 species
GGUAUCCCUAGUCCUUAAAGUAGGGUCGGGCACACAGUCGGUGUUUGGUAUACUGGUUAAAUAAAUGAAUGAUCCUACAACAUUGAUGUAGGUGGUGCUGUGCAGCAGAACUUUUGGGAUGGUGGAACUGUUCUAUAAGUUGUGCUAUCUACUAUAGCAGCUACAUGCGACAGAUGGCUAUUGAGCACUUAAAAACGUGGCUAGUUUAAUGGAGGAACUAAACUUUAAAUUUUAAAUAAUUUAACUUUAAACAGCUCCAUGUGGCUGGUGAUUACCAUAUUGAACAGGAUGGUUAGCAGAGGAUGGGGGAAAACGUGUGUGUGGAAGGGGAAACAAGAACAUAAAACAGUGAUGUGCUUGGAAUGCCGAAAACGUUACCUAUGACUCCUGACCCAGGAAGUGAUUCAGGUAAGAGCACAUGGGCUGGGCAAGGCUUCCUAGGCUCUGGGUUCUUUGCAUUUUCCCCUUCAACCUGCUAAAGGCUGUGGCAGUAGCUGCUGAGAUGAAGAGAAUUGAGUUUCCAAUUCCAGGAGGAGAGACUGCAUUCCUCUCUUCAUGGACACCAGGACCAGUGGGAGAGGGACUGAUGGACAGCCAGCCAGGGACAAGUGCCCACAGAAUCCAAUGCAGUGAAGAGCUUCUCUCUCUCGGCUGAGCUGGCUUUCUGGGUCAUUCAACUGUUUCCAUUCAUUCAAAUAUUUCCUAAUGCUAACGCCAGCCCCUGCUUUCUUAUUUUCCUUUCCUAGGGGGCACUAAAUCAAAGACUGACCCUCGGGAUGGAGUUACGCCUUGACGUUCCUAGGCUGGCCACCGAAGAGAGGAAAUCUUCAGAGGAAAGGGCUGCCUUGCAAAAAUGAGAUGAUUAAAUGAGAGACAUUUGAUCUUAAUUAUUUUUAAAAAAGACGUGCCUUUUCUUUUCUACCCAGACUAGUGAAGAUUGCUGGUCACGUACGUGGUAUAAGGCCUCAAAUGAAGGCUUAAUAUUAUGCACUGCUUUGACAUCUGAUAAAUUCCGGAAAGCCUCAAAUGGCCUAAUCACAAGUUCCCUUCCUUACUGUGCUUCAUGGAUAAGGUCCCCUCCGUCAAACAGUCCUUAUCACAGGGAGCAGUCAGUGGAAUUAUUCAUACAAGUAUCAUGUCCUCCCAAGGGAACCAGGAACACCCAUCCCCUCUGGAUAGUAUAAAACCUGAGUGCUCAUGCCACCCCCAAGUAUGACCCCCACGAGUCCUUCAUGGUGCACAGAACCCUCAUCCCUGAGCUAUGAGUAAAUGUGAAGAGUGGACUCCCGUUGGCCUCAUCUAUCCAGUGUCAGGCGAAGUGCAUUUGGCCCUCCCCAUAGAUGCCCUAACCCCAGGGUGGCCACGGCUCCCUCACCAGCAAGGCACACUGGAAAUGAUUCAAACAGGUUAUAGAUGUUUUUAUUAAAUCUUCAUGAGUAAUUCAUCAGUUUCUGGUGGGUUAGAUAUCAUUUAUUGAUAUUUAGGAUGGUUCCUCUCCUUCUGAGUUCUCCCCUGCACUUCAGGGGCAUGAAGCCUAGAAACUGCUUUGUGGAGAGUCCCUUGCCAUCAGGAUUCCCAUUGGAUUCCACAUCAGAAACACCCGCGUGACAUGCAAGAUAAACCAUCAUUCUCUAGUAGCAGCUGAGGGACCGUGGUGGGCAAGAGAUGGAGGGUUUUGCCAGAGGAUCCUAAGUAUCCCCCAGAGAACCACCCAUGGGGCUGCAGGCUGUUCCUCUAUGACUUGUUCAUGUUCGAGUUUCUCAAAUUUGCCUUAGCAGAUAACUCUGUGUCCUGGCUCCUGCCUCUUGGCUUCACCUCUGAUUUCAGCCAUGACCACACAGUUCUGUAAUACACUUCAGCUCACAUCAUGCUGGCAGUGUCCCUGCUGAAGUUCAGGUGCAACUGCUCAUUUCCAUUCUCUGUUCUAGGUUCCUCCAACACUGCAGAUGCCACAGGAAUUAGUUGAGCCCACAUACCUGUGUGCAGCUUGGAAAGGCUGAGCUCAUAUUCCUGAGGUGAGGACCAUUCUUGGGAGCUAACAUAAAAACCCUCCAACCUUUCACACUUUGGGGAGACCAUUCUGGAAGAUACCUGUAUGCUUCUCAUUAGAGUCUGAGAGAAUCGAGUUUCUACUUCCCCAGUGCAGCCUCUGGAACAUGAGAUCAUGUUGGCAUUCCUCUUCCCCUCACUCUCUUACUGUUGUUCCUUGGGAUCAUCUUUCAGUUAAGCUCUCAGCUCAUAAGUCCUGACCGCAGACCCUGCUUUGGGAGGAUCCAAGCUACGACAGUGGCCUUCCUGACCUUCCCUUGCCCCACCUUCCAAAGGUUAUGUAAACUUUUAAUUCACUAGGCAUGGUAGCAAUGCCUGUAAUCCCAGUGAUUGGGGAGGCUAAGGGAGAAGGAUUGAAAGUUCAAGGACAGCCUGGGCAACUUAGCAAGACCCUGUCUCAAAAUAAAAUAGAAAGAGUUGGGGAUGUAGCUCAAGUGACAUAGAGUACCCCUGAGUUCAAUCCCCAGGACUUCGAACAAGAACAAAAAUACCUUUAAUCCCCUGUAUGAAAAUGUUUCCCGAAUGGAUGGAACGAGAGAUCAUCAUGCUGAGUGAAAUAAGCCAGACACAGAAAGUCAAGGGCUGUAUGUUUUCUCUCAUAUGUGGUAACAAGGUGGUGGAGGGGAGGGGUGGUGCUGGUGGUGGUUCAUGAUAAUAACAGAAGGAAAACAAGCCCAAUAAUAGAGGAGCAGAAGAUGGGGAUGGAUGUGUGAAAUCAAAAUGUGUUAUGUGAUGUAUGAAUAUAUCACAGUGAACCCCAAUAUUAUGUAUAACUAUAAUAUAGCAAUAAAAAUUAAUAAGAGUUUUCCAU